AGUGAGCGCUGGCGGUAGGCCUAACACAUGCAAGUCGAACGGCAGCACAGUAAGAGCUUGCUCUUACGGGUGGCGAGUGGCGGACGGGUGAGGAAUACAUCGGAAUCUACUUUUUCGUGGGGGAUAACGUAGGGAAACUUACGCUAAUACCGCAUACGACCUACGGGUGAAAGCAGGGGAUCUUCGGACCUUGCGCGAUUGAAUGAGCCGAUGUCGGAUUAGCUAGUUGGCGGGGUAAAGGCCCACCAAGGCGACGAUCCGUAGCUGGUCUGAGAGGAUGAUCAGCCACACUGGAACUGAGACACGGUCCAGACUCCUACGGGAGGCAGCAGUGGGGAAUAUUGGACAAUGGGCGCAAGCCUGAUCCAGCCAUACCGCGUUGGUGAAGAAGGCCUUCGGGUUUUAAAGCCCUUUUGUUGGGAAAGAAAAGCAGCAGGUUAAUACCCCGCUGUUCUGACGGUACCCAAAGAAUAAGCACCGGCUAACUUCGUG
rnacentral:rRNA from 1 species